GAUGAACGCUGGCGGUCUGCUUAACACAUGCAAGUCGAACGAGGGUUUUCGAACCCGAGUGGCGGACGGGUGAGUAACGCGUGAGAAUCUGCCUUUUGGUCGGGGACAACCACUGGAAACGGUGGCUAAUACCGGAUAAGCCUGAGGGUAAAAGAGAAAUUGCCAAAAGAGGAGCUCGCGUCUGAUUAGCUAGUUGGUAGGGUAAGAGCUUACCAAGGCAACGAUCAGUAGCUGGUCUGAGAGGAUGAUCAGCCACACUGGGACUGAGACACGGCCCAGACUCCUACGGGAGGCAGCAGUGGGGAAUUUUCCGCAAUGGGCGAAAGCCUGACGGGGCAAGACCGCGUGAGGGAGGAAGGCUCUUGGGUCGUAAACCUCUUUUCUCAGGGAAGAAAAAAAUGACGGUACCUGAGGAAUAAGCCUCGGCUAACUCCGUGCCAGCAGCCGCCGUAACAC
rnacentral:rRNA from 1 species